rnacentral:lncRNA from 1 species
GAGGGUAGCCGCCGUGAGAGCGCCGCUACCGACGCCGAAGAGAAGAGCGACGACCACGCUAAGGAUGUCCUUACUGCGCUCACGGAGAGAGCUCAAGACAUCGGAGGGCUUGGGUCUUGGUGGUACGACGUUCAAUUGACCGAUCUCGGUGAAGACGGCGACGAAUCCGGUGGAGGAAGAAGGGUCGUUAGGGUUUUCAAAAGAGAAAGAAUAGGAGGCGACGAAGAAUGUCUUGCAGGGUCUAGCGGUGGCUGAUGCCGAAAGGAGGCCCACCGCCAGAAUAGUCACCGCAACCACGAAUUGACUCCACCUUCCCAUUCUUCCUUCACGGCAAUUUCGUCGGAUUUUACGAUUUGAUUGCAAAUUACGAAUCGAGUCUAAUUCCGC